rnacentral:rRNA from 1 species
GACGAACGCUGGCGGCGUGCUUAACACAUGCAAGUCGAACGGUGAAGGGGUCUGCUUUUGUGGGCCCUGGAUGAGUGGCGAACGGGUGAGUAACACGUGAGUAACCUGCCCCCUUCUUCUGGAUAACCGCAUGAAAGUGUGGCUAAUACGGGAUAUUCUGGGUCUGUCGCAUGAUGGGUCUGGGAAAGAUUGCGCCUUUGGGUGUAUAUGGUGGGGGAUGGGCUCGCGGCCUAUGAGCUGGAUGGUGGUGUGAUGGCCUACCAAGGCGGUGACGGGUAGCCGGGCGGGGAGGGUGGACGGUCACGCUGGGACUGAGACACGGCCCAGACUCCGACGGGAGGCAGCAGUGAGGAAUAUUGCACGAGGGGCGCAAGCCUGAUGCAGCGACGCCGCGUGAGGGAUGGAGGCCUUCGGGUAAUACACCUCUUUCGGCAGUGAAGCAGGCCUGCUCCUUGUGGGUGGGUUGACGGUAGCUGGAUAAGAAGCGCCGGCUAACUACGUG